UCUUGGUGUGUCCUGUGUUGGUUGUUGCAAGGUAUUUUGUAGCCGGUCCUGCUGAGGUAAGACCUGGGCGGACCAUCCCCUGUGUUUUGGUUAGUGCGCCAGGUGGUGCUAAAACUGAGGACCUGAGCCAGAGGACCAUGCCUCAGGACUAACUGGCCUGAUGACUCCUUGUGGUCCCCAGUCCACCUUGUCGUGCUGUUCUGCCUGCGGGUAUGGAACCCUGACCUGUUCACCGGAUGUGCUACCUUGUCUCGGACCUGUUUUCGAUUUUCUCUCUAAGUCUGCAUGAUCGGCUAUAAUUAGCCAACUGACAUUUACUCCUGAGGUGCUGACCUGUUGCACCCUCUACAACCACUGAUUAUAAUUAUUUGACCCUGCUGGUCAUCUAUGAACAUCUUGGCUGCGUAUUGUUAUAUUAUCCACCCGGCACAGCCAGAAGAGGACUGGCCACACCUCAGAGCCUGGUUCCUUUCUAGGAUUCAUCCUAGGUUCCUGCCUUUCUCUGGAGUUUUUCAUAGCCACCGUGCUUCUACAUUGCUGGCGUGUUGUUUUAGGCUGGGUUUCUGUAUAGCACUGUGUGACAUCAGCUGAUGUAAAAAGAGCUUGAUAAAUAA